AGUCGAGCGAACAGAUGAGAAGCUUGCUUCUCUGAUGUUAGCGGCGGACGGGUGAGUAACACGUGGGUAACCUACCUAUAAGACUGGGAUAACUCCGGGAAACCGGGGCUAAUACCGGAUAAUAUUUUGAACCGCAUGGUUCAAUAGUGAAAGACGGUUUCGGCUGUCACUUAUAGAUGGACCCGCGCCGUAUUAGCUAGUUGGUAAGGUAACGGCUUACCAAGGCGACGAUACGUAGCCGACCUGAGAGGGUGAUCGGCCACACUGGAACUGAGACACGGUCCAGACUCCUACGGGAGGCAGCAGUAGGGAAUCUUCCGCAAUGGGCGAAAGCCUGACGGAGCAACGCCGCGUGAGUGAUGAAGGUCUUCGGAUCGUAAAACUCUGUUGUUAGGGAAGAACAAAUUUGUUAGUAACUGAACAAGUCUUGACGGUACCUAACCAGAAAGCCACGGCUAACUACGUGCCAGCAGCCGCGGUAAUACGUAGGUGGCAAGCGUUAUCCGGAAUUAUUGGGCGUAAAGCGCGCGUAGGCGGUUUCUUAAGUCUGAUGUGAAAGCCCACGGCUCAACCGUGGAGGGUCAUUGGAAACUGGGAAACUUGAGUGCAGAAGAGGAGAGUGGAAUUCCAUGUGUAGCGGUGAAAUGCGCAGAGAUAUGGAGGAACACCAGUGGCGAAGGCGGCUCUCUGGUCUGUAACUGACGCUGAUGUGCGAAAGCGUGGGGAUCAAACAGGAUUAGAUACCCUGGUAGUCCACGCCGUAAACGAUGAGUGCUAAGUGUUAGGGGGUUUCCGCCCC
rnacentral:rRNA from 1 species